rnacentral:rRNA from 1 species
GAUGAACGCUGGCGGCGUGCCUAAUACAUGCAAGUCGAGCGAACAGAUGAGGAGCUUGCUCCUCUGACGUUAGCGGCGGACGGGUGAGUAACACGUGGAUAACCUACCUAUAAGACUGGGAUAACUUCGGGAAACCGGAGCUAAUACCGGAUAAUAUAUUGAACCGCAUGGUUCAAUAGUGAAAGACGGUUUUGCUGUCACUUAUAGAUGGAUCCGCGCCGCAUUAGCUAGUUGGUAAGGUAACGGCUUACCAAGGCAACGAUGCGUAGCCGACCUGAGAUGGUGAUCGGCCACACUGGAACUGAGACACGGUCCAGACUCCUACGGGAGGCAGCAGUAGGGAAUCUUCCGCAAUGGGCGAAAGCUUGACGGAGCAACGCCGCGUGAGUGAUGAAGGUCUUCGGAUCGUAAAACUCUGUUAUUAGGGAAGAACAAAUGUGUAAGUAACUAUGCACGUCUUGACGGUACCUAAUCAGAAAGCCACGGCUAACUACGUG